CUGGGUUUGAACUGACAUGUUGUCCACUCAAUCAAAGGAGCAGAGAAGGAAUCUAGUACUGAAAGCAUACGCUACAGCUAGCUAGCACUGUAGUGCAUAACAUGUGAAACACAAGUGUUCUCUCACGUUGGACCUCUGGGCAACAUCCUCUCCAGAAUCGCUUCUUUGUGUUUUUGUGUGGAUGCCCUCCAUCCUAUGACGAGAACGACGCCAAGCUCUUUGAGCAGAUUCUGAAGGCUGAAUAGGAGUUUGACUCUCCUUACUGGGGCCCUAUCUCCAACUCAGGUACGGUAGUCCUCCACUCUCAGAUGAAAGAGACAUAAAUCCAAGUCCAUUUCAAUAUAUAUUACAUUAUGUUGCCAGUAUUACUCCACUUUGUCAGUGAUUUCGUAUUAUUGGAAAUGGCUACCUGGGAUUGGUGUUUCUUUGAGCGUGUGCCAAACUGUCAGUGUGUGUAUGGGAUUAGCCAUUAUACACUGACUGGCCAAGGAACAGAUUCACUGUGUGUGAGAUCAUUACUUAGAGAGCACCAGGGAUCAUGGUACACAGAGAACUUAGAGACCUGCAGGACUGGUUAGAAGUCCAGCCAAUGCCAGGCUGGAGUCUGGCCAGUGUUUUUUUACUGCAGUGAAGCUCCUUGUUGGUGCCUGGAUUGAAGUGUUAGUUUAGCUCUCCUUUGGCAAACAUUUGAGAUAUGGAACUACACUUUAAAAACACCUGCUCUUUCCAUGACGUAGAGUCACUAGGUGAAUCCAGGUGACAGCUAUGAUCCCUUA